rnacentral:rRNA from 1 species
GUUGUCGUCAGCUCGUGUCGUGAGAUGUUGGGUUAAGUCCCGCAACGAGCGCAACCCCUAUUGUUAGUUGCCAUCAUUCAGUUGGGCACUCUAGCGAGACUGCCGGUAAUAAACCGGAGGAAGGUGGGGAUGACGUCAAAUCAUCAUGCCCCUUAUGAUUUGGGCUACACACGUGCUUCAAUGGACAAUACAAAGGGCAGCGAAACCGCGAGGUCAAGCAAAUCCCAUAAAGUUGGUCUCAGUUCGGAUUGUAGUCUGCAACUCGACUACAUGAAGCUGGAAUCGCUAGUAAUCGUAGAUCAGCAUGCUACGGUGAAUACGUUCCCGGGUCUUGUACACACCGCCCGUCACACCACGAGAGUUUGUAACACCCGAAGCCGGUGGAGUAACCUUUUAGGAGCUAGCCGUCGAAGGUGGGACAAAUGAUUGGGGUGAAGUCGUAACAAGGUAGCCGUAUCGGAAGGUGCGGCUGGAUCACCUCCUUUCUAAGGA